AUCGCUUCUCGGCCUUUUGGCUAAGAUCAAGUGUAGUAUCUGUUCUUAUCAGUUUAAUAUGUUGAGAUCCUAACUCCCAGUACAUCACAAGAAUACUUUAUUUGAAAAUUGGGCCUUUAAAGAGGCAAUUAAAUUAAAAGUGUGGGCCCUAAUCUAAUAUGACUAGUGUCUUAAUAAAGAAAAGAUUAGGACACAGA